rnacentral:rRNA from 1 species
UACCCUCAACUCAUGGGAAACUCCCCCCUGAAUUAAAGCAUAUUAAUAAGGGGAGAAAAAAAAACUAAAUAGGAUCCCCCUAGAAGGGGAGAGCAAAAGGGAAAAAGCCCACCACGAAAAAUCGA